UACGGAGGGGGCGAGCGUUGUCCGAAGUUACUGGGCGUAAAGCGCGCGUAGGCGGGUUGGUAAGUCCGCUGUGAAAGCCCGGGGCUCAACUCCGGAGGGUCGGUGGAUACUGCCAGUCUUGAAGGUGCUAGGGGGAGAUGGAAUUACCGGUGUAGCGGUGAAAUGCGUAGAUAUCGGUAGGAACACCAGUGGCGAAGGCGGUCUCCUGGGGCAUUCUUGACGCUGAGGCGCGAAAGCUGGGGGAGCGAACGGG
rnacentral:rRNA from 1 species